ACACGGGUUUUCCUUCUGCCCGGUUGUUUGGUGGUGCAGUGGUCCAGUGGUGGAGGGCCAUCUAAUUAAAUAGAGCUUUAGGCUUCACGGCCAAAGUAUACACAGACUGAGUAUUGUCCAGCCUUCCUUGUCCACUUGUGUUGGAGUGUAGCAUUCUACAACUUAGUGGAACUGGGCCUUGUUGUCUGUGAGCCACUGUUUUCCUCCUACCACGUUUUUAUUUAUUAAACACUGUGCAAUAUCUCUGA